rnacentral:rRNA from 1 species
ACCUUCGGGCCUCUCGCGUCAGGAUAUGCCUAGGUGGGAUUAGCUAGUUGGUGAGGUAAUGGCUCACCAAGGCGACGAUCCCUAGCUGGUCUGAGAGGAUGAUCAGCCACACUGGAACUGAGACACGGUCCAGACUCCUACGGGAGGCAGCAGUGGGGAAUAUUGCACAAUGGGCGCAAGCCUGAUGCAGCCAUGCCGCGUGUGUGAAGAAGGCCUUCGGGUUGUAAAGCACUUUCAGUCGUGAGGAAGGUAGUGUAGUUAAUAGCUGCAUUAUUUGACGUUAGCGACAGAAGAAGCACCGGCUAACUCCGUGCCAGCAGCCGCGGUAAUACGGAGGGUGCGAGCGUUAAUCGGAAUUACUGGGCGUAAAGCGCAUGCAGGUGGUUUGUUAAGUCAGAUGUGAAAGCCCGGGGCUCAACCUCGGAAUUGCAUUUGAAACUGGCAGACUAGAGUACUGUAGAGGGGGGUAGAAUUUCAGGUGUAGCGGUGAAAUGCGUAGAGAUCUGAAGGAAUACCGGUGGCGAAGGCGGCCCCCUGGACAGAUACUGACACUCAGAUGCGAAAGCGUGGGGAGCAAACAGGAUUAGAUACCCUGGUAGUCCACGCCGUAAACGAUGUCUACUUGGAGGUUGUGGCCUUGAGCCGUGGCUUUCGGAGCUAACGCGUUAAGUAGACCGCCUGGGGAGUACGGUCGCAAGAUUAAAACUCAAAUGAAUUGACGGGGGCCCGCACAAGCGGUGGAGCAUGUGGUUUAAUUCGAUGCAACGCGAAGAACCUUACCUACUCUUGACAUCCAGAGAACUUUCCAGAGAUGGAUUGGUGCCUUCGGGAACUCUGAGACAGGUGCUGCAUGGCUGUCGUCAGCUCGUGUUGUGAAAUGUUGGGUUAAGUCCCGCAACG